rnacentral:RNase_P_RNA from 1 species
AGAGUCGAUUGGACAGUCGCUGCCCUCUAUGAAAAUUAGGGGGGGGAGGAAAGUCCGGGCUCCAUAGGGCGAAGUGCCAGGUAAUGCCUGGGAGGCGUGAGCCUACGGAAAGUGCCACAGAAAAUAACCGCCUAAGCGCUUCGGCGCCGGUAAGGGUGAAAAGGUGCGGUAAGAGCGCACCGCACGACUGGCAACAGUU